UGACAUUUGGGCAAGGGUCCAAAUAUUUUUGCAAGUAGAUUCAUAUGUGAUGUGUCAAAAGAAGCAUGAUACUUAAAACAAUAGCAGAGUGGCCGAAGUCACUGAUCAUUCAUCCACUAUAAGAAUAGAUUUCUUUAAAUAAAAGCACUUUCCUCAUAACAGAGGGAACAGAGAUUAUCAAAUUGAACAGAUCACCUAAUGGUCUAAAGAAGAAAUAAAACACACCAAGUAUGCCAGUUUGGUGGAUGAGUGACAGUUAGUAUGACGUUUUAAUAGAAACCAUAAUCUGCUUGAAAUGAAUAGUACAUGGCUUUGGUCGCUUAAAAGACAGAUGAGAAAGAAGAGCAAACCUUACCUGUUGAUUUUUAAAUUGCUGAUCCUCUUAUUUUGGCCAAACCCUUUCACCGACAAUGAGAGCAAGUAGAGAAGCAGAGCCAGUUGACUUGAUGUUGUGUAUCUGUUCCCCAUCAGGAGAUCUCCUUAAAGCCAAGGCCAGAGGCGACGACAUCCUGGGUGUGGUAACCUCAGUGGUAGGGAUGCCAUCCCCCCAUGGUGCAGUGGUGUCCUUGGGUGUCCUCUGCAUGACAGUGGGGGCCUUGAUGUUUCUUUGUGCUGGUCAGGUGGUGACCUGGUUUGGCCUGGCACUCGGGACAAUGGGUCUCUUCUUUAUGGUGCUGGGUCUCUGCCUGGCCAUGAAAUCUCAUCACAUGGCAUUCCCGGGUCACUUCCUUUUGCAACCCCGCACAGGGACACGCUACACUCACCAUCAGGCCACGGUUAUACAGAGGAGACUUGAUAGGCUUCGCAGGGCUGUGUCUGAAGACAUUGAAUCAACAAGACUCCCGCUACCAAACACCAGCCUGCACACCCUCUCAGGAACCCCACCACCCUCAGACAUAGAGCCACCACCUUCCUACGAGACUGUCGUGAACAGUGUACUGGGUAAUGAACAGCACCUUUGAUGCCCCAAGGGUGCAUGACUUCUUCACUGUGACUGAAAACAAGACAUCUGAGAAGUGAAGCCUCAUUAGAGAGGAGUACACAUUCGAAAUUGCAGGACCAAGCAAGACCCAGCACAUUCAAAAUAUUCAGCACUCAAAACCUGACUCUUGACACAGUUUUGGUAAUUGCAAAUAAGUUAUUAUGUUAUUUAUUCCAUCCAAAAAUGGUGUAUGUUGUUCUUGAGAGGUCCUAACUGAAACAACUGAACUGGUUAGCACAGUUGCCAGCUUGUGACAAAACCAUCGUAUGAGAUUUAAAUUACUGCACCGAGGAUGUAAGCAAACUGCUUUUCUAUGCUGUCAGUUUAAUAAUUAACUACUUCAUAUGACUUAACAGUUCAGCUUCUUAAAUCACGCAGUUUUGUGGCUGCCUGUCACAAGUGAUUGAAAUGUUUUUGUUCAAGUAAACUAUUCAUAUACAACACAGUACAGGACAUAACUGAUUCAGGGUGUGAGAAAUUCUAAGUUCAGUGUGAAACCAUAUGGAACCUGUGUGUCUCUCAAUUUACUGUGUGAAUUGGUAACCUCUGGUCAGUAAGAAGAAUACAGGUGUUGAGUGCAGAUCACUGUAUAGAUACACGAUUUUGCUGUUCCACAAUUGGACAAUUCACUGAUUUUGCUUACCUCCUCGGCCAAGAGUCUGGAAGUCAUGAUUGACUCAAAUCUGUCUUUCUCUCAGCACAUUGAAGCACAACUCAGACCUGCAGAUACAUCCUGCAUAACAUCCACAGGAUCCAUCCUUAUCUACCAGCAGACUCUGUGCAACUACUUGUCCAGGCCAUGGUAACAUCUCGUCUGGACUACUGUAACUCUCGCCUGUCAGUAGUCCAGUUGCAACUGUCUCCUGUCUGGCCUUCCGGCUACUGCCAUCAAACCUGUACAGCUGAUACAGAACGCUGCUGCCCGAGUUGUGUUUGACUUGCUGAAGUGUUUCCACGUAUCUCCCUUCCUCGUCUCUCUGCAUUGGCUUCCUAUAGCUGUCUGGAUCAAAUUCAAGACCCUGGUUAUGGCCUACAAAUGCAUCAAUGGAACUGCUCUCAGAUAUCUAAAGACUUCAUCAUCCGCUACACCCCAAUCAGACUGCUACGCUCCUCCACCUCUGUCCGCUUGGUGGUCCCAUGUAUGAAAGGUCCAAAAGCAAAAGCACAAAGGUUCUCAGUUCUGGCUCUGAUGUGGUGGAAUGACCUCCCUUUCUAACUCAUAACUGCUGAAUCUCUGUCCAGAUUUAAAAGGGUCUUAAAAUUUACCUCUUCCAGACUCACGUCACCCAUGAGCUAAGUUCUUACAAUGUGUAAAUGUUCAUGCACAAUAACUUUGAGAGAUCAUACGUAUUAACCAGAUAAACCUUCAUGUAGCCACUCCUGUAAUGUAACGCAAAUGUUUAUAUAUAGUAUAUAUAAAUAUUAUUAAGGUGAUUACGAAUUCUCGAUAUUCUGAUAAAGUUUUAUGCAGUUACUCGUGUGAUGUACUUUGGUUAUGAUGGUGGAAAGUAACUAACUGUACUUCAGAAUUACACAUCUGCACCCAAGUCUCUCUCUGUUAAUGUAAUGCACACAUUUUAUUUUCUAUGAGAUGUACAUUGCUUUGGAGAAAAGCAUCUGCUAAAUGAACAAAUGUAAAUGUAAAUAUAAAAUGGAAUGUGGUGAGUGUUUGUUGUUAAAAUUCUUCUGUUGCAAUCCGCUAAGUAUGCCAGAGAGAAACUGAGUUGCCUGUAAAAUGACCAUUGAAUAUAAUGUUUUUCAUUUACGGAAAAAAUGGAUGCCGUGACAGAGAUGAAUAAAGAAAACUUUUCUGCAUCUUCA
ensembl:lncRNA